GACAUUGGAGGCAAACCAAUAGGGACCUCAAAAAGCUGGCAGUGCUGCUAGCCAGGGUGAGUCAGGAAGUUUCCAAUAACAUCUAAGGGGUAUAAACUGAGAAGGUGAGCCAAAACUGGAUGCAGGAACAAUCCUUGGCCACUCUCUGAGUGCUCCCAGCCAAGUUACAAAUCACAGGGACAUCUCCCAGGAAAGUAAGCACAGCCAAAGGCUACUCAUCCCAAAGGCAAUGCGGGCUGCUUCUGACCCAGGUUAGGAUGAAGGGACAAAGAUGAUCUGGCUGAGAGCUCCAAAUGUCCUCAUGCCACGGCUCAUGGGCAGCCUGCCUCACAGGUUAGUGUUGCCUGUCCCCAGGGAGAUGGAUGGCCAGAAGAACACCCAGCUUGUCUGCAAGCCCAUUCCUCUACCAACACAUCUGCAAAAGGAAAGAAGAGCUUCUUUGUCCAGCACCUGGACUGUAGGAGGAGCAGCUGUGAACCAGAACAAUGCACUGGAAUAAGGGACAAAAGAAGUGACUAGAAAAAGUUAUUUCAGGACCACAUGGCUUCAAAGGCUAAAAAAGCCCCAAACAGGGGUUGUCAGAGGGACUGGAGAAUGUUAGCUGUCAAAGGAUGCCAAACAUAGUUUGGCCAUGAGGGAUCUUCCCAUUGCCUAAUUCACUUAAGGCAGUUGACCACCCUGCUAGAAUCCAGCUUAGAGGAGAGGCAGGCAGAGAGCUGCCAGGGCAAGGUAAGCAACUAGAAUAACAGCAGUGUCACACUUCACACCCCACAUGAAAGGUCCUUUUUCUAGGUUGGCUUAUCUAGGAAUAUGGAAAAGAGCCAAGAACAUAAAACCCAAACCCCUGUAAUUCAAAUACCUUGCUUUUAAGGAAUACUAACCCUAAUCACCUGUCAACCCAAGGAAUGAACCCUCCCCCUGAUGGGUUAUCUCCCUCCCUUAUUUGCAUGCUCUUCUUCUGGCUUCUGAAAGCCACAGAAAGGUGAAGGUCUCAGUCUUGCAGAAGCUGAAUGCUUGGGAAACAGCUGCCUGGCCUGGCAGCCUCUCCAGCAAUGCAUUUCUUAAGCACUCUACAAGCAAUCACAGUAAAGCUUUAGAAUUGUGUUGCCAGCUGAAACAGCAUACCACCCCACCCCCCCACCCCCCCCCCCGAACACAUCUCUAGCCCAAGUGAAUGACAUCACAUAGAGCAGCCAUUCCACAGCAAACAAACAUCCACUGAUAGAGCAAAAAUGGAGUUUUUAACAAGCUUCACUUCAUAACUCAUCUCAUAUGAUAUAACUGUCAGAAGCACCAGAUGAUCUAACCCACACACCACAUGCUUGCUCUCAGCCUGAAUUAGCUGAGGCACCUGUACCCCAGCCUGCCAAAGGUGGUGCUCCUCUAAAUACCAAAGCCCCAAGGGUAAAGGUUUCUGUAACAUCAGUAUUAUUCAGAUAAACAUUAUACUAUUCUCUAAAUCAGAAAUCCCUAGUCAUCUCAUUAUAUACCCACAAGAUCUAUCUAGGCAAGAUAAAAAAGGAUAUUGAUACUACCCUAUCCUCUGCUAUGUGGGGAUUAAGGAGCAUGUUAAGUUUAAAACCAGCACAAGAAACAACUAGAAGCAGCAUCAGAACAUCAGCCCAAAAUGAAAAAGAAUGGAUUAGAGACAAACCUACACACAGCACAGGUCCAAGAAUCACCCAACACUAUAGACGCAUUUAUCUACCACACAGUUGAGACAAGAAGCUAGGACCCAAGCCUGAGUUUAAAUAGAGGUCCCGGCCCAAUGGGCAGAGGGAUGUUGGUGGGGUGGGGGGUCCCAGGUGAGUCUCACCAGGGUGAUUAGGGGCUCCGAUAUAAAAGCUGGUGGCUGGAGGUCUGUCCCUUCUGUAUUAGUAAGAUAAUGGGAUAAAACAUGGGAGAUAAUUGAUGAGCAAUGGUACUCAUAGAGGAAAGCACGUGCAGAGGAGUGAGUUUCUCUUUUAACAGUUUUAGAGGAGCACCUGGGCCCUAAAUGCCUAGGUUGUGUUGGUAUAAAACCAGUUGUCAGAGGAGGAAGAAACCAAGUGAGAAAACCGGGGGCCAGAAACAUCAACAGGUAAAAGGCAAAGCACUCCAGGGGCUGCAUAAAGAAGCCAAGGCCAUCAGAUCAAAUAAAUCUGCAUUUGCUCUGAUUUGCUGGCAAGCCAGCCUGGUUUCCUGCAUGAUUAGUUUUCUUCUGCUGCAUGGCAGUUAAGUGGUUUAGGUCUAAUUGCUCAGGAGCCUGAAGCUUUCUGUAGCUCAGAGAAACAGCUAUGCAAUGGAAAUGGAUAUGCUAUCUCCAUGUGUCCCUCACCAUCCAGAAGCCCCAUCUCUGGGGGUGAUGCUGUCCCAAACAUGCAACUCACCAGGACACCCUGGGAAUGUCCCUUGGCACCUCUCCUUGAGGGUGCAGACCCACUGGCAGUUGCUGCUGAGCAAGCCUAUCUGUACACACCUCUGUGGAUGGCGGGGUUGUACCAACAUCUCUUGUAGAUGUAUGUCCUGCUUUUUGCAAAAGGCAAGAGCAGAAUCUAUGUGGCCAAACACGUAAAGUUGGGGGCUUCAGGCAAGCUGUCAUGGAGAGGGUCCAAGCAAGGUCUUCACUGGCUGUUGGCUUUUGGCCUGGUUUGGGAGUUGCUCUUUUCCAGGUUAUUGCAUAGCAGGACGAGCUAACACAGGGACCUGGCUUGCUCCUGAGCACUUUUCAGACCCUGAGGAAAGCUGUGGCAGGCAGAUUGCUCUUGAGGAACCAGAUGGACAGCUUCGCCACCCUGCAUCCUCUGCUCCUCACAGCUAAAAAUGAUAAUGUCAACUUGUAAAGUAAAGAUGGUUGCUUGCAUGGUUCCUAUCACCUGCUCUUCCCCUGCCUGGGGUGAGUGUUCACAUCCUCCUCAGGCAACUCUCUGCUCUCAUGUCCAAACCCAGCAGCAAGGGCUGUUGGUUGUACAACAAACCUAUUUUUUACAACAGCUGUGGAGCUGGGUGUCCACACCACCCUCCACACAACUAAACCAUUAUGUUCCCACCUCAACACCACGUGUUGCUUAAUUAUUCUACUCAUGAAGUCCUUGAUCCUGAAGCUGCAAUGACAUUAUGACAGAAAAGAAGAUGAAGAGGAGUCUUCAUAGCUUUUUUCUCCUUCUGAGAGUGACUUGUGGCUACUGGUCAACUGAUGCAGCCAGAGGUGACUGAUGAGGACCUGGGGUGGAAAGCCUCUGUGUUCCUGGAGAAUCCCUGCUGGCAAGGCCUGUGUCCGCACUGGGGUGGGCUGGCAGGCUGUCACCUCGUAUGGUGACUUUUGCUGAUUGCUGGGAGCUUUUGCCCUCAUUAAGAGCAGUAGCUGACAGCACCAGCUUAUUCUAAAAUGACUUUUGCUUGAUAUAAAUAAAACAUACUUUAAUACUGCAUGUUAUAUUUUUGGAACAUGCAGAUAUGUGUUAUGCUGGGCUUAUUUCCCUGGGAUGUUACAUCAUAGGAUGAGAAACCACUUGUCAGCUCUUGGGGCUGAUAACUGGCAGAUGAGCCUACAUGCCCUUGGGCUUGGGCCCUCUCACAAUGCCUUUUCCCAAGUGGAUAUCUUGGAUAUGGUUCUUGAGCUGGCCAGGCCUGUGUCAAAGAGUAGGUCUGCCCAAGUGACAAUGCACCAGCUAAA